UCUGGAAGUACUCACUGCAGAGACAAAUGGAAAUGAGUCCACUCUAGGAAGAAGAAUAACUGGAAGCUUGAGCUGUGUAAAUGUGACUUGGAAAUGUGACUUCAGGAGAAAGAACCAGGUAGAAAACCCUGAUGGUGAAAGCAAGUUUUAACUGAAAUGAGAAGAAACUGAAAGUUACAUUACCAUGGCUUUUAUGAGUCAAAGAAGAGACAUUAUGGGUAUGUGAACUAAAA
rnacentral:lncRNA from 1 species